GACCUCGGAUCAGGUAGGGAUACCCGCUGAACUUAAGCAUAUCAAUAAGCGGAGGAAAAGAAACCAACAGGGAUUGCUCUAGUAACGGCGAGUGAAGCAGCAAUAGCUCAAAUUUGAAAUCUGGCGUCUUCGACGUCCGAGUUGUAAUUUGUAGAGGAUGCUUCUGAGUAACCACCGACCUAAGUUCCUUGGAACAGGACGUCAUAGAGGGUGAGAAUCCCGUAUGCGGUCGGAAAGGUGCUCUAUACGUAGCUCCUUCGACGAGUCGAGUUGUUUGGGAAUGCAGCUCUAAAUGGGAGGUAAAUUUCUUCUAAAGCUAAAUAUUGGCCAGAGACCGAUAGCGCACAAGUAGAGUGAUCGAAAGAUGAAAAGCACUUUGGAAAGAGAGUUAAAAAGCACGUGAAAUUGUUAAAAGGGAAGGGAUUGCAACCAG
rnacentral:rRNA from 1 species